GACGAACGCUGGCGGCGUGCCUAAUACAUGCAAGUUGAGCGAUGAAGAUUGGUGCUUGCACCAAUUUGAAGAGCAGCGAACGGGUGAGUAACGCGUGGGGAAUCUGCCUUUGAGCGGGGGACAACAUUUGGAAACGAAUGCUAAUACCGCAUAACAACUUUAAACAUAAGUUUUAAGUUUGAAAGAUGCAAUUGCAUCACUCAAAGAUGAUCCCGCGUUGUAUUAGCUAGUUGGUGAGGUAAAGGCUCGCCAAGGCGAUGAUACAUAGCCGACCUGAGAGGGUGAUCGGCCACAUUGGGACUGAGACACGGCCCAAACUCCUACGGGAGGCAGCAGUAGGGAAUCUUCGGCAAUAGACGAAAGUCUGACCGAGCAACGCCGCGUGAGUGAAGAAGGUUUUCGGAUCGUAAAACUCUGUUGGUAGAGAAGAACGUUGGUGAGAGUGGAAAGCUCAUCAAGUGACGGUAACUACCCAGAAAGGGACGGCUAACUACGUG
rnacentral:rRNA from 1 species